AAGACUAUUAGUAGGAAGAGGAGAGCUGCUGAGACGAAGAGCCUUAGACUCCACUCUGUCCAAGAGAGCUGUGUGAGUGGAGCCCCCCCACAUGUGAGAUGCAUACUCCAUACAAGGGCGGACAAGGCCCCUGUAUAUGGAUAGCAACUGUGUGGGGGAGAAGAACUGGCGGAGACGGUACAGAACACUCAGUCUCGAGGAGGCUGAUUUAGUAAGAGAAGAGAUAUGAAGCUUCUAGUUGAGAUUUUGAGUUAAGGAUAGACCGAGGAUGUUUAGUAUUGAAGAAGGUGAUAGCUGGGUGUUGUCGAAGAAUAGGGGAUAGUUGUUUGGAAGAUUGUGUCGAGUGGAUAGGUGGAGAAACUGUGUUUUUGAGGCGUUGAAGGACACCAGGUUCCUCUUGCCCCAAUCGAAAAUAAUAGUAAGGUCUGAGGCUAAGCAUUCUGUUGCCUCCAGCCUGGAAUCAUUUAGUUCCUGUUGGGUGGUUCUUCUAUUAAAGGAAGUUGAGUAAUGCAGAGUAGAGUCAUCGGCAUAAGAAUGGAUAGGACAGUUUGUUUUGGAAAGAUCAUCAAUGAACAACAGAAAGUGAGUGGGAGAUAGAACAGAACCCUGCAGAACACCACUAUUAAUAGGUUUAGGGGAAGAACAGUGACCGUCUACCACAGCAGGAAUAGAACGGUCAGAAAGGAAACUGGAGAUAAAGGUACAGGGAGAAGGUUACUAUUUCAGCAGUGAUAGGUUACAAUUUAAACAGUGAUAGGUUACUAUUUAAACAGUGAUAGGUUACGUACUAUUUCAAUAGUGAUAGGUUACCAUUUAAACAGUGAUAAGUUACCAUUUAAACAGUGAUAGGUUACCAUUUAAACAGUGAUGGGUUACCAUUUAAACAGUGAUAGGUUACCAUUUAAACAGUGAUGGGUUACCAUUUAAAGUGAUAGGUUACCAUUUAAACAGUGAUAGGUUACCAUUUAAACAGUGAUAGGUUACCAUUUAAACAGUGAUGGGUUACCAUUUAAACAGUGAUAGGUUACCAUUUAAACAGUGAUAGGUUACCAUUUAAACAGUGAUAGGUUACCAUUUAAACAGUGAUAGGUUACCAUUUAAACAGUGAUAGGUUACCAUUUAAAGUGAUAGGUUACCAUUUAAACAGUGAUAGGUUACCAUUUAAACAGUGAUAGGUUACCAUUUAAACAGUGAUAGGUUACCAUUUAAACAGUGAUAGGUUACCAUUUAAACAGUGAUAGGUUACCAUUUAAACAGUGAUAGGUUACCAUUUAAAGUGAUAGGUUACCAUUUAAACAG